rnacentral:rRNA from 1 species
UACAGAGGUCUCAAGCGUUUGUUCGGAUUCAUUGGGCGUAAAGGGUGCGUAGGUGGCGCCAUAAGUCAGGUGGUGAAAUCUCGGGGCUCAACCCCGAAACUGCACUUGAUACUGUGGUGCUCGAGUACUGGAGAGGAGAUUGGAAUUUACGGUGUGCAGUGAAAUGCGUAGAUAUCGUAAGGAAGACCAGUGGCGAAGGCGAAUCUCUGGACAGUUA